AUGGCAUCAGGAAACAUAAACACCUACAAGAUAAAAGCAAAACCUAAUCCUAGAAAAACAAGCCUGACUAUUUACUCACCCAGAUCUAACUCUGGAUUAGACCCAUGCAACUCACACUGGAGCCUAACAGUAGCUGCUGUUGUUCAUGCUACUGUGAGAGAACAUUCUGAGAACUGCCUUCACAGAGAGCCCAGAAAUCAGGCAAGAAAUCAGAUACAAAGAAGAAAAUGGGGUAACAAGACAGUGCCACGUUACUGUAAGAAAAGCAUAAAUCUUUAUACAAGGGGGUGGACUGGAGAACUUCAGGGGUUUCCAUGUGUGAAUGUUUAAAAGAAAAACCUUAUUCAUGCUGGAGUGGAGAACUGACAAUCUGGGAACACAAAAAGAAAAAUGAGGAGCCUUAAAAUAUGAGGACUGGCCGAGUCUUGAAUUCUGAAGGACACUAUAUCUCAAAAAAGUUUAAAGGUCUGAAGCAAUACGGAAAAGAUGACCUACAUAAUGACCCAACCAACACUUUGUCACUCUACAGUGGUUCUUCAAAUUCUGCUUUGACAUCAAACAGCUUCGAUUUGUUGCAGCCUGCAGGACCAGAAGCAGUUGAGGAGAAGAGAGUGGCCUUUGGCAUGCAUCUACUACCGACUCAAACUCAGAGUUUCCAUUCCAUAGGAAGACAUCUCCAUUGCUCAGUGCCCCACCCCCGGCAUGUGCAUACUCAUUCUUUGUUUUGAUAAGCAAAUCAGACAAAAAAAGUUAGAGGGUGGAUUUUUGCCUGGUUUCCCUUCUAAAUCGCCAUUUAUAUCCUGAGAUCAGCUGACAUCCGUGGAACCGUCAAAAAAUCUUCCUUUUGCAAGACUUCAGAAACAAUGCAGAUAUAGAGAAAAUAAAAAUAAGUGUUUGGUGAAGAGAGACUUCAAGAUCUAGGAUUGAGGACUAACAGGAACUCCAAGAUACAAAGCAGAUUUAUAUGGAGAGUUUUUGGUUAAGUGAAGUUUUUAGUUUGUCCCUUUUUUUUUCUUUUUUCUUUUUUUUUUUUCUUUCUUUUUUCUUUUUAAUGAGAACUCUUCUUCUCUGCUGCCUCCCUUUUCAUAGUGCCCUGCUCCACAAAGGCUCUUGGGCUUUGGGCUUUCCAUAGAGCAUGACCCACUGAUCCUUAAGGUUACCAAAUGAGUGAGCAAGAUGAGGGCCAUAGGAAUAUCAUGUGCAUAGUGGCUAAAUUACACUCACUAUCCUACAGCAGUCCUAUCCUAUCUAUCUGUCCCGUCCUUCUCACUCUGGGCAGAGCAAGGCUUUCUGGAGAAAGCAGGGAAUACCCUGAAGCUAGCAAAGAUCUAGUUUUAGUUUAUCUUCUUUUAUCUUCAUUGUCAUUGUUGAUGGGAAUGAAAAAAAAUGGGCUUAAAUUCCAAGGAUCAAAUGGGAUCAGAUAGAUGGUGAGGAGACAUGAUUAACAACAAUAAUAAAUGGAAAAUUCACCCCACUAAAUUCAAAAGGAAGAGUGAGGGCUGUGGGAUCUCAGCAGCUUACAGGUGGGUAAUUUUCCUAUAAUUUCUGCUCAUUCUCAAAGGCAUUUAUCUCAAAAUCUGUUAGGGCCACUUCUAUUAGUUUUCUCUCUGAGGAAUAAUAUUGUCAUGUUGAGGAACAAGAGAACAGGACAACCUAUGCCACCUCUAAUGAACAAAGGGAGGGGGUUGUUUCUCCACAAUUUUUUUUCCUCCAACCAGUUUAACUGGGAUGCUGAUGGGCCAGGCAGUCAAAAGAGAAUUCCCUGGAUUUAUGUAAAAAACAGCUUCUUCUGCGAUAUCCCUUACUCUGCCUCUCCCCCUCUUCUGUGCAUCUGAAGCUAUUCACAAGCCCUUUCCACCCUACUUAAUCUCCCCUCCUCCCCUUCUCAUGGUAAAAUCAACCCUCUACACUAGGCUUCAGCUGUUUUUUGGAGCUUGUCUGUUCACAUCACUGAGCAAGGGAUGAAGUAAUGAAAAUUACAAGCUGUGGAAAUUUGAUCUCUCUAUUCUGUAAUUACUGCUCUCUGAAAUCUGAGAAUAUAUAUUUACUUUAAUAUUCUUGCAGAGGAGGGGAAGUUUCCCCAAGGCAUAAAGCAAAGAGAGAGCUAGGAAGAAGGAACAGCAUGAACCAUUUGUAUUUGAUUAAAUGUUAUAUACAGUAGUGAGUGGAUCUUGUCUUUAAGGCUGACACAGAAUCGCAGCAUUCAACUCGUCUUGGUAUUUAGAAGCAGUCAGUGUUUCCUCUUUGCUAUGGACAUUUCUAUAAGGUAAUUUGAAGGAGUCCUCAUCUUCUCCAGCUUCCUCUACACAUAAUUGACAGUGUUUGCCAUCUCAUGAUAAGAUACAGGCAUUUUGCUUAAAAGGAUUUAUCCUGAAGUCUUGUGAGCACAGUAAGAAUCUUUCAAAAAAUAAAGACAAAAAAACCUCACUUGCCAGCCUCAAAGUUAUCAUAAAAGCUGGAAAAUAUGAACAAAAUAAACCUUAAUGGAUCCAAAUCUGAGAUAAAUUAAA